rnacentral:misc_RNA from 1 species
GCUUCUUUCCAACCCCAGAUGAUUUUGCAACUGGUAGAUUCUUUUACCAAGAAAUCCAGAUUUUCCACAUUAUCCAUGCUGGAUGCAUAAUGUUCCCAACUUACCUAUAUUCUAGGGGAAUAAUGCAGCAAUCCUCGUUCCCAACUCAAAAAAUUUUGAUGUGUAUUCACUGCAAAUACUUGAAUGAAGAUAUUCAAUCAAUCAGGAGCUUGCUCAAAAACUAGAUAUGCCCAAAACAAACUUAUCAAGAACAAUCUAAGCAAAUCAUUUCACUUUCCUAAAAGCUUCCCGCCGGGCGAUGACAAAAAAAAAAUGUAAUCCGAAACAUACUUUGAACAACUAACCUCAUCGAUCAAUGAUCUAGUUGGUUUUGAUCACAGGCAAACAUCAUAUGAUCCAAACCCAUAUAAGUUUUCCAUGAACUGUUAAUAAUACAUUGCAAGAAUAACUGACUUUGAUUUAAAGAUUAGCUCGAUAUUAAGAUCAUGAUGGUCUCAUGUUCGUUGCAAAUCAACUAGUGUUUUUAGUUCAGAUACUGAUUUAAAAGAAAAAAGAUGACAAAGCUUCAAAAACAAAUCAAACAAGUACAAAAUACAGAAUUUGAGAGAUCAACCAGAAGCAACAAACAAAAACAAGUAACAAUAGACAUGAACAAUAACUAAAGGAGUAGAAAGAAAAACCAAAUUACAAUUAGAUCAAAGCACAGAUCACAAAAAGAAAGAAAACCCACAAAUAAUAGAAGAAGAUCAAGA